rnacentral:rRNA from 1 species
UACGUCGGGUGCAAGCGUUACUCGGAAUUACUGGGCGUAAAGCGUGCGCAGGCGGUUUUGUAAGACCGAUGUGAAAUCCCCGGGCUUAACCUGGGAACUGCAUUGGUGACUGCAAGGCUUGAGUGUGUCAGAGGGAGGUGGAAUUCCGCGUGUAGCAGUGAAAUGCGUAGAUAUGCGGAGGAACACCGAUGGCGAAGGCAGCCUCCUGGGAUAACACUGACGCUCAUGCACGAAAGCGUGGGGAGCAAACAGG